GCUGCAGUUCGGUAUCGGAAUUUUCCGCAUCAAAUCGCGUGUGUCCGUGUUUUUGUCACAUCCGGCGCUGUCUCAAGAAGGUGAACGAGUUCUGGGUGUUGGAUGGACAAAUCCUAACCGAAUCGGAUCGAAUGUUGAACAAGGAUAACCAGGCUCAGCGCCUGUUGCCGUCGAGGGUUCGUUCCGGAUGGUGAUCACCAACACGAAACGCAGCUCGUUUUCUUCAAGGACCAUUGAAAAGCGUGGACGUGCUGGGAUCGAGUGGCGGGGAGGCCAUCCCUGCAAAAGUCUUCUCGUUCUCGUAAAUACCGAAUCUGGCCUCGUGACUGUCGAGAACCUGAAGCAUGAUUAAAGUUCCACCUGCGACAUGUAUUAAAUCUUCCGGAAGCAGCACGUUGAGGCUGCUAGGCGGACUUUUUGAGGCAAAAAUCGUAGCAUCAAACAAACCAGUAGAUCAAUCCGGAAACCGGAGAAGGGACCGUUGGUUAGUACGGACGCACCAUUCGCUCGGAGAGAACCAAGAUCCGGACCGGCUUCAGCUGAUCGAGAGCUUGAAAUUAAAUCGCGAAAGAAAACGUCAAGAAGAGCUCAUCGUUUUUGUGAAAACAAUCAAAAGAAGAAAUCAAUCUGCAUAAAUAUUUGAUUAUUUAAAAUACUAAAAUAACCAUAAAAAUACAUUAAAACGAACUGUAGUUAUUAUUUAUUUCAUCGUCCGAAUAUAGUUUUGCCCAGUAGCAUUUAGUGGGGAACAAACCAUAAAGAACUAUUAUUUUACUAUGCAAUUUAUUGUAAUGCUUAUUUAUUCCAUUGUCCGAUUAUGGUUUUUACAGUAAUAUUUAGUGGGGAAAAAACCACGAAGAACUAUAAUUUUACUGUGCAAUCCAUUGUAAUGGUUACUGUUUUUAUUAGAAAUGUAUGAUGUUUUCUAUGGUCAGGGUAAUUUUUUUGACGGAAAAGGCAUCAAUGAAAAUACGGUAGAAUGUAUAGUUUUUGGUUUUUUUUUGUAUGGGGAAAAGUCGAAAUUUUUAUGGUGACUGUGCCUAACAAUACCCCUUUUUUAUAGUAAAUUCCCAAAAUAAGAUAUAUUCUAUGGUGAAAAAACAUAAAGGCUACUGUAGAAUCAUGGUAGAAAUAACCAUAGAAUUUAUCGUGUGAUAACCAUAAAAUCUACUGUUGAUUUAUAGUAAAAC